rnacentral:rRNA from 1 species
AGAGUUUGAUCAUGGCUCAGAUUGAACGCUGGCGGCAUGCCUAAUACAUGCAAGUCGAACGGUAACAGGCUUUUCGGAGUGCUGACGAGUGGCGGACGGGUGAGUAACGCGUGGGAAUCUGCCCUGUAGCGGGGGACAACCUUAGGAAACUGAGGCUAAUACCGCAUACCUUCUACGGAAGAAAGUAGGCCACUGAAUAUGCUUACACUACAGGAUGAGCCCGCGUUGGAUUAGCUAGUUGGUAAGGUAAUGGCUUACCAAGGCUACGAUCCAUAACUGGUCUGAGAGGACGACCAGUCACACCGGGACUGAGACACGGCCCGGACUCCUACGGGAGGCAGCAGUAGGGAAUAUUGGGCAAUGGGCGCAAGCCUGACCCAGCAAUGCCGCGUGUGUGAAGAAGGCCUUAGGGUUGUAAAGCACUUUCAGGAGGGAAGAAAAGGUUAGGAAUAAUACGCCUAACUCAUGACGUUACCUCCAAAAGAAGCACCGGCUAACUCUGUGCCAGCAGCCGCGGUAAUACAGAGGGUGCGAGCGUUAAUCGGAAUUACUGGGCGUAAAGGGUGCGUAGGCGGUUAGAUAAGUUAGAUGUGAAAUCCCUGGGCUCAACCUGGGAACUGCCUCUAAAACUAUCUAACUCGAGUGCAGUAGAGGAAAGUGGAAUUUCCGGUGUAGCGGUGAAA